CAGGAUAUAGGUGAAGAUAACUCUACCUACACCCUCGCUGCACAUCGUACUGCGGGUUCGUCCACACGGGAGUUGGAUUUCCAGAGCCCGCGUUGAACGCAAGUUUCUGAGCUACCAAGUGCCCUAAGACGUUAAGUGUGGUUCAUAGCGUAAAGCGAUGC
rnacentral:rRNA from 1 species